GGUACUGCCUUGGUGGAGGGAACUUUAGUAUCCCCCAGUAUCUGGGUGUAACACUGACGGUUCUUCUCAAAUGCAAUGAUCAAGUUAUCCCUUGCAGUGGCAAAAGGGCUUUCUACUGCAAGACUGCGGAAAUAGCGAUAAAUAGCCACCAGCUCAUCAUUGGAAUAGGAAGCCAGUAUUGCAAGCUGAUGAUGAGGAUUACCACUUGAAGGCCAAAGUGACGAAGCUUGCAGGUAAUAACUCGAAGCAGCCGCAAAAUCACGAGCUUUAGAAUCACCCUCACCAUAUAAGCCUUUGUACCGAGCAAGAUCACCAAGAUAAAUCAAACAACGAUGGCAGGAUAUCAAUCCUUUCUUCAACUCCACAGACUUAUUACCAUCAUUAGAGGAAGGAAUCUGAUUCUCUGGAUCAUCAGAGUUAUAUCCCAGUGGAAGACCAUACUUGGCCCUAAUUUUUAGCAUCAAAUCAUGGUAAAAACCUGUUGCUUCUGAAAGGAAAGUUUUAAACUGUGUUCGGAUCUUUGUGAUGCGAUCUGCUCCACUAGUAGGAUGAACUUUCCCAUUUGUUGUCCCACUAGAAUUUGCAGCAGCAUUGAAGUGUGCCCGCAAUUCCUCAAUUCUCCUGUAAUGCAUCUGCCAC
rnacentral:misc_RNA from 1 species